rnacentral:rRNA from 1 species
UACAGAGGUCUCAAGCGUUGUUCGGAUUCAUUGGGUUUAAAGGGAGCGUAGGCGGCCCUGUAAGUCAGUGGUGAAAUCUCUCGGCUUAACCGAGAAAUUGCCAUUGAUACUGCAGGGCUUGAGUACAGUUGCCGUUGGCGGAAUAUGACAUGUAGUGGUGAAAUACAUAGAGAUGUCAUAGAACACCGAUUGCGAAGGCAGCUAACGAAACUGUAACUGACGCUGAGGCUCGAAAGUGCGGGGAUCAAACAGG